AAACUAAAUAAAAAAUAUCCCUCUCCAUCUCCCCUUCCCAACGGCAUCUCCAUCUCCAUCUCCAUCUCCAUAUCUCAAUUGGCAGAAUUGACUCGUGUUUUCCCCACACCAAGAGUCAUAGCCCUCGCAGAUUUCACGCCGCCGGCCUGCUUGCCCGGAGAAGAAAGCCGAGGACUUGGCUGUCUCAGAGUUUGGUCCCCGCCGCGGCUGCUACUCGCCAUCAUCAGACGCCGUCGUCUCCUGCAGCAGGUCGCUGGUCCGGAUUCAUGGGCAGCGUCGCGUGGCUGCUGACUCGCGGCCUUGCCGCCGCUGCCAACUGCACGAACCUGUCGCCGUCCGCCCUCCCAUCGUUUGAUCCAGCUGAGCAAAGUGGGGACUUAUCAAGAUCCAUGGGCAUCCCAACUUUCAAUCGAACUAUGGCCUUCCUGAAAUCCACACAGAUAGACUACAAUGCCACUGGCUUAUACUGGUGUUGGGAAAUGAAGCUUUGGAAAUCAUAGAAUAUGCUUUUUCAAAAGAUAGGUUGUGAAGACUUUUGACUUCAGCCUCACUGGUGCCUCUUCAAGAUCUUGUAAAUAUGUCCUGAAUACUAUGAUGCAGACUUUUAAGAACAAGAGGCUUGCUUAUGCAGUUAAGGAGAGUACUCUUGAUAGUCUCAUCAUGGAACUAUUGCUCCGGCUUUUGGAUGAUAGUAAUCCCCAAUGGAUGAUGGAAGUCAACUUUUAAGAGCUUUGAAUGUUCUGAUGUUAAAGAUUCUGGAUAACGUAGAAUGUAUUUCAUCAUUUCCUGUGCUUAUAUAUCUGUCAAGACCUGGAUCCAUCAAGAUGGCCAUCUCCAUCAAAUGAUCUCUUGAAAUCAGAAACCAGAAGUUCUCUGAUUUGGUUGUUAAAUGUUUGAUCAUGCUCACAAAGCACCUCAGGACCUUAUCGAUCCAGUUGAUAUAUUAAAGCCUUUGGAGAAGUCUGGAUUUUAGGAAGCGGUGAAAGCUUCAAAAUGGUGUGAGAGGAAAGAGGCUGUUGCUGAACUAGCAGAACUUGCUUCAACCAAAAAGAUUUCUCUUGGAGAUUUUUCAGAAAGUUUGUCAUACAUUAAAGAAGGUUAUCACGAAUGUAAAGGUUACUGAAGGAAGUAAAAAAAGGAAAAAAAAAAGAAAAAAACAUUGUUGUUGCAGGUGAAGCUAUUCAAGCGCUGGGCAACCUUCCUAAGGGCAGGAGAACCCUUCCUAAAAAAAAGAAAAAAAAGAAAAAAAGGAAAGAAAAUGAAAAAAAAGGAAAAAAGGAAAAAAUAAUUGCUGAUGCAUUUAAAGCAAUUCAAGCACUGGGAAACUUUGCUGGGGAUCCGAGAGCCCAUUUUUCAGCCAGUUGUCGCUUCUUAUUUGCCUGUAAACCGCACCUCAGGACCUUGUCGAUCCAGUUGAUAUAUUAAAGCCUCCUUAGGAGAAGUCUGGAUUUUGGGAAGCGGUGAUAGCUUCAAAAUGGCGUAAGAGGAAAGAAGCUGUUGCUGAACUAACCGAACUUGCUUCCACCAAAAAGAUUUCUCUUGGAGAUUUUUUCAGAAAGUUUGUCAUACAUUAAAGAAGGUUAUCAGGAAUGUAAAUGUUACUAAAGGAAGGGAAAAAAAGAAAAAAACAUUGUUGUCGCAGCUGAAGCUAUUCAAGCGCUGGGCAACCUUCCUAAGGGCCUAAGAACCCUUCUAAAAAAAAGAGAAAAAAGGAAAAAAGGAAAAAAGGAAAAUAAAAAGAAAAAAAGUAAAAAAAGGGAAAAAGAGAAAAAAAAUAAUUGCUACUGCGUAUAAAGCUAUUCAAGCAUUGGGCAACGUUGCUAGACUUUUCAGAACAAGAGCCUUGCGUAUGCAGUUAAGGAGUGUACUCUGAUAGUCUCUUCAAUGAACUGUUUCUCUGGCUUUUGGAUGAUAGGCUUCCGGAGAUGGAUGAUGGACGUCAAAUUUUAACUACUUUGAAUGUUCUGAUGUUAAAGAUUCUGGAUAACGCAUAAUAUACGUCAUCAUUUCCUGUGCCUAUAAAUCUGUUAAGACCUCUGGAUCCAUCAAGAUGUCCAUCUUCAGAUCAGAAACCUAAAACCUAAAGUUCUCUGAUUUGGUUUUUAACUGUUUGAUCAUGCUCUAAAGGAAUCUGCAACUCCAAAGAAGGUUGUUAAAGUAACUUAACUGGUGGCAUAGAUGGACUUCCACGUGAAGAUAUAAGUGAAAAGGUCACCCCCACUUUGUUAAAAGGCUUAUAGAGUUCUGAUUGGAAGGUCCACUUGGAAUCUAUUGAAAAUGUAACCAAAAUUCUGGAAGAGGAGAACUGGAACUGGAGAUCUAUUUGGAGCUCUAUAGGGCAUCUACACGUCAGUUCUAAAUUUUGAUAAUUGCUACUUUGUCCCCAGUUGGUGCUCUUCAGAGUACAAUGGGACCUCCAGUUGAGAAGUCAAGCUAGCUCCUGUGAAGGCUUGAUCAUUUACACGAAUGUAGCUCGUGCAAGGGAUUCUUUCAGAUUUUUCAGAUGUCUUGAAAUGCCUUGGUGACAAGAAAAAGCAUAUGCAUGAGUGUACAUCGAGUACCUUAGAUACUUGGCUCGAGUGUACAUCUGGCCAAUGUUGUCAAGUCACCACGUAGCCAAAGGUCGAGGUUCUAGGUUUUGUGGGAACCCAAUUUAUGUGCAUCACUGAUUCUGACCAACCAUCUUAAGCUUUAAUGAAUUGAAGCUGCCUUUGUAAAUGCUCCUCAGGACCUUAUCGAUCCAGUUGAUAUAUUAAAGCCUUUGGAGAAGUCUGGAUAUUGGGAAGCGGUUAAAGCUUCAAAAUGGUGGGAGAGGAAAGAGGUUGUUGCUGAACUAGCCGAACUAGCUUCAACCAAAAAGAUUUCUCUUGGAGAUUUUUUCAGAAAGUUUGUCAUACAUUAAAGAAGGUUAUCACGAAUGUAAAUGUUACUAAAGGAAGGAAAAAAAGGAAAAAACAUUGUUGUUGCAGCUGAAGCUAUUCAAGUGCUGGGCAACCUUCCUAAGGGCCUGGGAACCCUUCUUAAAAAUAAGAGAAAAAAUGAAAAAAAGAAAAAAAAGUAAAAAAAGGGUAAAAGGGAAAAAUGAUUAUUGCUGCUGCAUAUAAAGCUAUUCAAGCAUUAGGCAACGUUACUAGACUUUUCAGAACAAGAGCCUUGCUUAUGCAGUUAAGGAGUGUACAUUGAUAGUCUCAUCAAUGAACUGUUUCUCUGGCUUUUCGAUGAUAGGCUUCCGGAGAUGGAUGAUGGACGUUAAAUUUUAACUGCUUUGAAUGUUCUGAUGUUAAAGAUUCUGGAUAACGCAUAAUAUACGUCAUCAUUUCCUGUGCCUAUAAAUCUGUUAAGACCUCUGGAUCCAUCAAGAUGUCCAUCUUCAGAUCAGAAACCUAAAACCUAAAGUUCUCUGAUUUGGUUUUUAAAUGUUUGAUCAUGCUCUAAAGGAAUCUGCAACUCCAAAGAAGGUUGUUAAAGUAACUUAACUGGUGGCAUAGAUGGACUUCCACGUGAAGAUAUAAGUGAAAAGGUCACCCCCACUUUGUUAAAAGGCUUAUAGAGUUCUGAUUGGAAGGUCCACUUGGAAUCUAUUGAAAAUGUAACCAAAAUUCUGGAAGAGGAGAACUGGAACUGGAGAUCUAUUUGGAGCUCUAUAAGGGCGUCUACACGACAGUUCUAAAAUUUAAUAAUUGCUACUUUGUCCACAGUUGGUGCUGUUCGGACUACAAUGGGACAUCCAGUUGAGAAGUCAAGCUAGCUCCUGUGAAGGCUUGAUCAUUUACACGAAUGUAGCUCGUGCAAGGGAUUCUUUCAGAUUUUUCAGAUGUCUUGAAAUGCCUUGGUGACAAGAAAAAGCAUAUGCAUGAGUGUACAUGGAGUACCUUAGAUACUUGGCUCGAGUGUACAUCUGGCCAAUGUUGUCAAGUCACCACGUAGCCAAAGGUCGAGGUUCUAGGUUUUGUGGGAACCCAAUUUAUGUGCAUCACUGAUUCUGACCAACCAUCUUAAGCUUUAAUGAAUUGAAGCUGCCUUUGUAAAUGCUCCUCAGGACCUUAUCGAUCCAGUUGAUAUAUUAAAGCCUUUGGAGAAGUCUGGAUAUUGGGAAGCGGUUAAAGCUUCAAAAUGGUGGGAGAGGAAAGAGGUUGUUGCUGAACUAGCCGAACUAGCUUCAACCAAAAAGAUUUCUCUUGGAGAUUUUUUCAGAAAGUUUGUCAUACAUUAAAGAAGGUAAUCACGAAUGUAAAUGUUACAGAUGGAAAAAAAAGAAAAAAAACAUUGCUGUUGCAGCUGAAGCUAUUCAAGCGCUGGGCAACCUUGGCAUGAGAACCCUUCCUAAAAAAAGAAAAAAAAGAAAAAAGGAAAAAAAGGAAAAAAAAUGAAAAAAAUAAUUGCUGAUGUAUUUAAAGCUAUUCAAGCACUGGGAAACUGUGCUAGGGAUCCGAGAGCCCAUUUGUCGGCCAGUUGUUGCUUCUUAUUUGCCUGUAAACCGCACCUCAGGACCUUAUCGAUCCAGUUGAUAUAUUAAAGCCUCCUUAGGAUAAGUCUGGAUUUCGGGAAGCGGUGAAUGUUUCAAAAUGGCAUGAGAGGAAAGAAGUUGUUGCUGAACUAACCGAACUUGCUUCCACCAAAAAGAUUUCUUUUGGAGAUUUUUUCAGAAAGUUUGUCAUACAUUAAAGAAGGAAUGCUAUGGUUUUUCUUGACCACAAGCCCACAACUCAAUUAAGGUUAUCACGAAUGUAAAUGUUACUGAAGGAAGGAAAAAAAAGGGAAAAACAUUGUUGUUGCAGCUGAAGCUAUUCAAGCGCUGGGCAACCUUCCUAAGGGCCUGGGAACCCUUCUUAAAAAAAAGAAAAAAAAUGAAAAAAAGAAAAAAAAAUUAAAAAAAAGGGUAAAAGGGAAAAAUGAUUAUUGCUGCUGCAUAUAAAGCUAUUCAAGCAUUGGGCAACGUUACUAGACUUUUCAGAACAAGAGCCUUGCUUAUGCAGUUAAGGAGUGUACUCUGAUAGUCUCAUCAAUGAACUGUUUCUCUGGCUUUUGGAUGAUAGGCUUCCGGAGAUGGAUGAUGGACGUCAAAUUUUAACUGCUUUGAAUGUUCUGAUGUUAAAGAUUCUGGAUAACGCAGAAUAUACGUCAUCAUUUCCUGUGCCUAUAAAUCUGUUAAGACCUCUGGAUCCAUCAAGAUGUCCAUCUUCAGAUCAGAAACCUAAAACCUAAAGUUCUCUGAUUUGGUUUUUAAAUGUCUGAUCAUGCUCUAAAGCUCCUCAGGACCUUAUCGAUCCAGUUGAUAUAUUAAAGCCUUUGGAGAAGUCUGGAUAUUGGGAAGCGGUGAAAGCUUCAAAAUGGUGGGAGAGGAAAGAGGUUGUUGCUGAACUAGCCGAACUUGCUUCAACCAAAAUGAUUUCUCAUGGAAAUUUUUUUCAGAAAGUUUGUCAUACAUUAAAGAAGGUAAUCACGAAUGUAAAUGUUACAGAUGGAAAAAAAAGAAAAAAAGAAAAAAAAGGAAAAAAAAAGGAAAAAAAUAAUUGCUGAUGUAUUUAAAGCUAUUCAAGCACUGGGCAACUGUGCUCGGGAUCCGAGAGCCCAUUUUUCGGCCAGUUGUUGCUUCUUAUUUGCCUGUAAACCGCACCUCAGGACCUUAUUGAUCCAGUUGAUAUAUUAAAGCCUCCUUAGGAUAUGUCUGGAUUUUGGGAAGCGGUGAAAGCUUCAAAAUGGCAUGAGAGGAAAGAAGCUGUUGCUGAACUAACCGAACUUGCUUCUACCAAAAAGAUUUCUCUUGGAGAUUUUUUCUGAAAGUUUGUCAGUACAUUAAAGAAGGUUAUCACGAAUGUAAAUGUUACUGAAGGAAGGAAAAAAAAGGGAAAAACAUUGUUGUUGCAGCUGAAGCUAUUCAAGCGCUGGGCAACCUUCCUAAGGGCCUGGGAACCCGUCUUAAAAAAAAGAGAAAAAAUGAAAAAAAGAAAAAAAAAAGUAAAAAAAGGGUAAAAGGGAAAAAUGAUUAUUGCUGCUGCGUAUAAAGCUAUUCAAGCAUUGGGCAACGUUACUAGACUUUUCAGAACAAGAGCCUUGCUUAUGCAGUUAAGGAGUGUACUCUGAUAGUCUCAUCAAUGAACUGUUUCUCUGGCUUUUCGAUGAUAGGCUUCCGGAGAUGGAUGAUGGACGUCAAAUUUUAAAUGCUUUGAAUGUUCUGAUGUUAAAGAUUCUGGAUAACUCAGAAUAUACAUCAUCAUUUCCUGUGCCUAUAAAUCUGUUAAGACCUCUGGAUCCAUCAAGAUGUCCAUCUUCAGAUCAGAAACCUAAAACCUAAAGUUCUCUGAUUUGGUUUUUAAAUGUUUGAUCAUGCUCUAAAGGAAUCUGCAACUCCAAAGAAGGUUGUUAAAGUAACUUAACUGGUGGCAUAGAUGGACUUCCACGUGAAGAUAUAAGUGAAAAGGUCACCCCCACUUUGUUAAAAGGCUUAUAGAGUUCUGAUUGGAAGGUCCACUUGGAAUCUAUUGAAAAUGUAACCAAAAUUCUGGAAGAGGAGAACUGGAACUGGAGAUCUAUUUGGAGCUCUAUAGGGCGUCUACACGUCAGUUCUAAAAUUUGAUAAUUGCUACUUUGUCCCCAGUUGGUGCUCUUCAGAGUACAAUGGGACCUCCAGUUGAGAAGUCAAGCUAGGGGAUUUUUUUCAGAUUUUUCAAAUGUCUUGAAAAGCCUUGGUGACAACAAAAAGCAUAUGCAUGAGUGUACAUUGAGUACCUUAGAUACUUGGCUUGAGUGUACAUCUGGCCAAUGUUGUCAAGUCACCACGUAGCCAAAGGUUGAGGUUCUAGGUUUUGUGUGAACUGCAAUUUAUGUGCAUCACUGAUUCUGACCAACCAUCUUAAGCUUUAAUGAAUUGAAGCUGCCUUUGUAAAUGCACCUCAGGACCUUAUCAAUCCAGUUGAUAUAUUAAAGCCUUUGGAGAAGUCUGGAUUUUGGGAAGCGGUGAAAGCUUCAAAAUGGUGGGAGAGGAAAGUGGUUGUUGCUGAACUAACCGAACAUGCAUCCACCAAAAAGAAUGCUCCUGCGGAUUUUUUCAGAAAGUUAUCUAACAUUGAAGAAGGUUGUCACAAUUGUAAACAUUUUAGAAGGAAGAAAAAAAAGAAAAAACAUUGCUGUUGCAGCUGAAACUAUUCAAGCACUAGGCAAUCUUGCUAAGGGCCUGAUAACCCUUCCUAAAAAAUGGAAAGAAAAGGAUAAAAAAGGAAAAAGGAAAAACAAAAAUUGAAGAAAAAAAGGAAAAAAGUGAAAAAAAUAAAAAAAAAGGAAAAAAUUGUUGUUGCAUAUAAAGCUAUUCAAGCACUGGGCAACUUUGCUAGGGAUCCGAGAGCCAUUUUUUCGGCCAGUUGUUGCAUCUUAUUGCCUGUAAACCGGGUUGUGAAGACUUUUGACUUCCGCCUCACUGGUGCCUUUCAAGAUCUUGUAAAUAUGUCCUGAAUACUAUGAUAUAGACUUUUCAGAACAAGAGGCUUGCUUAUGCAUUUAAGGAGAGUCCUCUGAUAGUCUCAUCACGGAACUGUUACUCUGGCUUUUGGAUGACAGGGUUCCGGAGAUGGAUGAUGGAAGUCAAAUUUUAACAGCUUUGAAUGUUUUGAUGUUAAAGCUUCUGGAUAACACAGAACGUACGUCAUCUAUUCUUGUGCUUAUAAAUCUAUUAGGACCUCUAGAUCCAUCAAGACGUCCAUCUUCAGCAUCAAAUGAUUCUCUUGCGAUUAGAAACCCAUAAACCUGAAGUUCUCUUAUUUGGUUGUUAAAAUGUUUGAUCAAGCUCCAAAGGCAUCUGCAGCUCCAAAGAAGGUUGUUAAAGUAACUUGUUCUACAUCAUCUGUGGUGACUGGUGGCAUGGAUGGACUUCCACGUGAAGAUACGGUUUAAAAGAUCACCCCCACUUUGUUAAAAGGCUUAGCGAGUUCUGAUUGGAAGAUUUGUCCACUUGGAAUCUAUUAAAAAUGUAACCAAAUUCUGGAAGAGGUGAACUGGAACUGGAGAUCUAUUUGGAGCUCUAAAAGGGCAUCUACACGAUAGUAACAAAAAUUUGAUAAUUGCUACUUUGUCCACAACUGGUGCUCUUGGGACCACAAUGGGACAGCAGAAAUUAAGCUAGGGCAUUCUUUCAGAUGUUUUGAAAUGCCUUGGCGACAACAGAAAGCAUAUGCGUGAGUUUACAUUGAGUACCUUAGACAUAUGGCCUUGUGCUGCCCAUCCCAAUAAAAUGGAUAAAUCAACAGAUGUUCGUAAAGAGGCUGAAGCAUGAUUUAAUGAAAUAUUGAGGGUUUGUGGACAUGAAACGGUAUCCGAAAAUUUGAGAGAUAUACAAGAUUAUGCUUUAGCUGAUAUUAGCAAACGACUGAAGCCAUAUGGAGCUUUUCAUGCUACUUUUCAUUAAAUCACUCAUCUCCUAAUAAAAAAUUUAUAUUGUUUUUCUACUUUUUCAUAUCAUUAUGUUGAUUUUUCUCGUGCCACAUAUCCAUUGCAGAAUAAUUAUGAAUCUGGAGAAUUUGUUUCGUCAAGCAUCACGUUGGAAAGCAGCCUAAAGACAGCAAAACCAAAUGGAAAUGGCGACCGCGAAUCUCAACAUGGAAGCAGAAAUGCACCUUCAAGAGUUGUGCCUAACAAGGGAUUCAGGCAAGAAUCUAUCUUGUCUUUUCAAGACAUCAACAUUCAGUCACAACAAGGAUGACAGAGAAAGAAUUAUUGUUCGCAGAUUCAAAUUAGAUGAAUUGCGUGUAGAGGAAAUUCAAGAUCUUGAGAUUUUUAGUAAGGGACUAUGCUUACAUCAAAAAGAAUGAUGUCAUGAAAUACUUUCGAGAGGAUCUGCAUCGGAGGCUCUUAAGUGCUGACUUCAAAAAUCAAGUUGAUGGCAUUGAGAUGUUGCAAAAGGCUCUUCCCCCAUGGGAAGGGAGGUGAUUGAAGUCUUAUAUAUACUCUUAAAGUGGUUUGUGUUGAGGUUUUGUGAAUUCAACACAUAAUGCUUAUUAAAGUACUUGAAUUUCUUCCCGAGCUUUUGGAUCUUUGGGAAAUGAGGGGCUACACUGUUACCGAAGCAGAGACAACCAUCGUUCUUCCUUGCUUGGAUGAGAAGUCUGGACAUAACAUUGAAAAAGUUCGAGAAAAUUGCGGGAACUGAUGAAACAAGUCGUACAAACAUAUUCUGCUCCCAAAUUAUGGGAUGAAAGUUGUGUGCCAUGAAUUGGCUUAAGCAACUGCUGACCCCAAGGGCAGCACAAUGGAAGAAAUACAGAAUGAUGCUGAUUAACUAGUUUCAUGCCCGACUUUUUAGAACAAGAGGCUUGCUUAUGGAGAUAAGGAGAGUACUAGUCUCAUCUUACACGAAACUGUUGCUAUGGCUUUUGGAUGAUAGGUUUCCACGGAUGGAUGACGGAACUCAACUUUUGAGAGCUUUUAAUGCUCUGAUGUUAAAGGUUCUGGUGCAGGAUAAUGCAUAGCAUAAUUCAUCAUUUGUUGUGCUUAUAAAUCUGUUAAGACCUUUGGAUCCAUUAAGAUGGCCUUCUCCAGCAUCAAAUGAGUCUCUAGCAAUCAGAAACCAGAAAUUCUGCGAUUUGGUUGUUUAAUGUUUGAUCAAGCUCACAAAUGUAUUAUAUCUUGAUCUGUUUUAUCUUGUUUAUUUUUUCUUUUAAUUAUGUAUUGUUCUUAUAUUAUUGAUGUAGUGAAUCUUCCUUCUGUAAGAAUGUUAUGUUGCAUAGUUUGACGACAUUGUUUGAAAGCAUUUGCAUAGUCUUACUUAA